rnacentral:rRNA from 1 species
GACGAACGCUGGCGGCGUGCUUAACACAUGCAAGUCGAACGAUGAAAGCUGGAGCUUGCUCCGGCUGGAUUAGUGGCGAACGGGUGAGUAACACGUGAGCAAUCUGCCCUUGACUCUGGGAUAACUCCGAGAAAUCGGUGCUAAUACCGGAUAUGACCCUUGGCGGCAUCGCUGGGGGUGGAAAGUUUUUCGGUCAAGGAUGAGCUCGCGGCCUAUCAGCUUGUUGGUGAGGUAAUGGCUCACCAAGGCGACGACGGGUAGCCGGCCUGAGAGGGUGACCGGCCACACUGGGACUGAGACACGGCCCAGACUCCUACGGGAGGCAGCAGUGGGGAAUAUUGCACAAUGGGCGCAAGCCUGAUGCAGCAACGCCGCGUGGGGGAUGACGGCCUUCGGGUUGUAAACCUCUUUUAGCAGGGAAGAAGCGAAAGUGACGGUACCUGCAGAAAAAGCACCGGCUAACUACGUGCCAGCCGCCGCAGUAA